rnacentral:lncRNA from 1 species
CAAAAAGAACAUGCAGCCUUUUUGUUAUUCUGGCUACCAAAGCACGUCUCGAAGGAUUUGGCAAACCUGGCUUUGUUACCUCGCUGAAGGCAAGCACUUUGCUUUGAGGCGCGUUGUACUGGCCAUUCUCUACUGGGGACUAAAUCACAGGCUUCUGCAUCUAUGUACGAAGACGCCUGUCCUUCCGGUAUCCUUCCGACAUGGGUGAAGCUUGAUUUUCCUUCCUUGUUUUCGGAUGUCAAACAUGCUCCGCCUCGCUGUAGGAGUUUCAAGGCUGAACCCUACAUUCCAGACACCAGAGAAUGUAAAC